AUGAAGGCAACAUUAAAAACUAUCCUCCCACAUACUCUGCAUAAGUUGUGUCGGUGGCAUAUCAUGAAGAAGCACAAAGACCACCUCGCCUUGCUGUAUAAGGCGCACGAGAAACUUAAGGAUGACCUCAGUGCGGUGCUGAACCACCCACUAAUGUCGUCAGAAUUUGAACGAGCAUGGAAGGACCUCAUUCAGAGAUACAACUUGCAAGACGAUGAAGUGAUGAAUUCGCCGUGGGAAGACAUGCACAACUGGAUCUCGGCUUACUACAAGGAAAUUUUCUGUGCUCGGAUGACUUCCACACAGAGAAGCGAGAGCAUGAACCGCAUACUGAAGAAAAACUUUGUCAAAGAGAAGCAUGAUCUCCAUCUGUUUGCUCAGCAGGUGGACAAGUGCAUUCAGACCAGGAAGGCCGUCGAGCAUGCAGAGACAGUAGCAAAUGAGUCAGAGGUGAAGACAACAACCUAG
rnacentral:rRNA from 1 species